rnacentral:rRNA from 1 species
GUGGGGAAUAUUGCGCAAUGGACGAAAGUCUGACGCAGCGACGCCGCGUGUGGGAUGAAGCCUUUCGGGGUGUAAACCACUGUUGCCCGGGACGAAACUCCUUUUUCGAAAGGACUGACGGUACCGGGUGAGGAAGCACCGGCUAACUCUGUGCCAGCAGCCGCGGUAAUACAGAGGGUGCGAGCGUUGUCCGGAAUCACUGGGCGUAAAGGGUGCGUAGGUGGCUUGGUAAGCGUGUGGUGAAAGUCCGGGGCUCAACCCCGGAUCUGCCGUGCGAACUGCCGAGCUCGAGCAUUGUAGAGGCAGGUGGAAUUCCGGGUGUAGCGGUGGAAUGCGUAGAGAUCCGGAAGAACACCAGUGGCGAAGGCGGCCUGCUGGGCAAUUGCUGACACUGAGGCACGACAGCGUGGGGAGCAAACAGGAUUAGAUACCCUGGUAGUCC